rnacentral:rRNA from 1 species
UGCCCCAGUAACGGCGAGUGAAGCGGCAACAGCUCAAAUUUGAAAUCUGGCCCCCAGGGUCCGAGUUGUAAUUUGCAGAGGAUGAUUUUGGCGAGGUGCCUUCCGAGUUCCCUGGAACGGGACGCCACAGAGGGUGAGAGCCCCGUCUGGUUGGACGCCGAGCCUAUGUAAAUCUCCUUCGACGAGUCGAGUAGUUUGGGAAUGCUGCUCUAAAUGGGAGGUAUAUGUCUUCUAAAGCUAAAUAUUGGCCAGAGACCGAUAGCGCACAAGUAGAGUGAUCGAAAGAUGAAAAGCACUUUGAAAAGAGGGUUAAAUAGUACGUGAAAUUGUUGAAAGGGAAGCGCUCAUGACCAGACUUGGGCCCGGUGAAUCAUCCAGCGUUCUCGCUGGUGCACUUUGCCGGGCUCAGGCCAGCAUCAGUUUGCCCCGGGGGAUAAAGGCUUUGGGAAUGUGGCUCCUCCGGGAGUGUUAUAGCCCAUUGCAUAAUAUCCUGGGGCGGACUGAGGUUCGCGCAUCUGCAAGGAUGCUGGCGUAAUGGUCAUCAGCGACCCGUCUUGAAAC